GGACUGGAUGAGCUUUAAGGUCCCUUCCAACCUGAACCAUUCUGGGAUUCCGUGAUUCUAUGACUUCAUAUACUACCAAGUUCUUCUCCUGGCAAGCCAGCCUUGUUCCAGAGCACUUGGAGGAAGCAAAAAGGUGGAUGUGGAUCUCUUGGAAGGGAGGGAGACCUAAAAGGACUGAGCAGGAGGUCUGGAAGGGGGUAACUUUCAAGCAGAGCCAACUCAGAAGGCAGCUUUGACAUCCUGCAUGUACAAGGAGACCUUUGCAGAGCCUCUGGACUCUCCUUAAACACGAGUUUCUCCCUCCCUGGUGCUUUCUGGGGUCACCCUGAGUGUGAGUUGGUGAGGUGAGGAGCUGCUUUGCACACUCCAGCCUCCCUUCCUUGUCUUUACAAGUGCUUUUCUCUUAUCUUAUAGUAUUUUGCAAAACCUCACAAGCUUUUAGUGGCAAGACUUUUGCUAAGAGGCUGUUGAUGACUCUGGAGUAGACAGCAGGAGGGCUUUAGUGACGUGUUCUCUUCCUUUCCAUUGGAAAAAGCAGCUUAUCUGCUUUGGAGAAUACAGCUUCUUCCUCCUUAUCCGUGCUGAAAUCUUAUCUAAACUGGUUCAGGUGGCGGAGCUGAGAGAAGGAAAUAAUUAAGCGAGACACAGGUGAAAUGCUGACAUUAUUAUUACUUAAAUGGCCCAAACCUUUUACCUCGUGUAUUUUUUAUUAUUAUUUUACUUUGUUUUUUUAUUGCUUCUGACACCUAACAAGGGAUAAAUCGGUUUUUCCAGGUUAUCUCACCCAUCCACACACAUGCCACUUCACCCCCCCCUCCUCCCCACCCAAAUAUAAAUCUCCUUUAACUGGUUCUGUUGGCAAGACAGAGAAAUAAUUAAGGCGAAGGUGGCUGCAGUGUUGAUGUUAUUACUGUAAUGCAGCAGCCUGUUUAGUUUCUUUGCCAAUGAAAUGCAACCAGGGGAAAAUCAGUUUUAAAGAUUACCUCCCAGAGAUGCAAAUAAAGGAGCGGAAACCAUGUAGUCAGGAAGAAAUGGUCUCAAACUAGGAAACAUUUCAAAGUCGGUGACAGUCUCUUAGGAGCUUUUAAGACCACAAUUUACCUUUUGACUGCAUUCUAUUUUCUCUGAAAUCCUUUAUUUCCCUCUUAUUUAUUGACUGGAGAGACAGCACAGAAACAAGAAAGUGAUUCUCCAGCCGCUGGUCUUAAAAAUCCAUAGAAGGAAAUUGUUCUCGGGAGGGAGGAUUUUUGUUGUUGUUGGGCACUUCGUUUUCCCUCCCCCCUCCACCCCCUUGUUUUUAGCCCUCUCUGUGAACCAGGGCUUAAUUGAAUCACUUUGCCAUGGAGGGGCCUCAGACUGGAAGGGAUCAAGGUCAGGGGCACUGUCUGGAGUGAGAAGCCCUGAUUAGGGAGGUGGGAGCCGCGGGGAUAACGCAGCAGGAUGUGGCACAUCCUGCUCUGGGCCACACAUGGGGUGAGGGUGGAGGGUCUCUCCAUCCCCUCCAGGUGGCCACCAGCAGCUGAAUCACAGCCAUGUGCUCCAGGGGGACUUCUCUUGUUUCAGGGAUGGCACUGCAGGUUGGGAACAUGGACAUCUCUGUGCUUGGAUUAGCAUCCCACUCGCAGAUUACCAUCCUACAGUCAGAACAGCUCCAGCUCCUCCUGACAAUUAGCAGAGAGAGUCUUUACGACACACGGGGUGAUUACGUUGCCAUCGCAGCCUCCGUGGCCAGCACUGCCUUAUUAAAGGAGGGCCCCUCUUUCCAGGAGAACAUUGUGAUCAAAUUAGACUAAAAUUAACUGGAGUAAAUUAAGAAUAAGA